rnacentral:rRNA from 1 species
AAUGAACGCUGGCGGCAGGCCUAACACAUGCAAGUCGAACGGAUCCUUCGGGAUUAGUGGCGGACGGGUGAGUAACGCGUGGGAACAUACCCUUUGGUACGGAAUAGCCUCGGGAAACUGGGAGUAAUACCGUAUGUGGUCGAGAGACGAAAGAUUUAUCGCCAAAGGAUUGGCCCGCGUUGGAUUAGGUAGUUGGUGGGGUAAUGGCCUACCAAGCCGACGAUCCAUAGCUGGUUUGAGAGGAUGAUCAGCCACACUGGGACUGAGACACGGGCCCGGCUCCGACGGGAGGCAGCAGUGAGGAAUCUUAGACCAGGGGGGAAACCCUGAUCUAGCCAUGCCCCGUGAUCGAUGAAGGCCUUAGGGUUGUAAAGAUCUUUCAGGUGGGAAGAUAAUGACUGUACCACCAGAAGAAGCCCCGGCUAACUCCGUGCCAGCCGCCGCGGUAACAC